CGGGACUGACGGGGCUCGAACCCGCAGCUUCCGCCUUGACAGGGCGGUG
rnacentral:tRNA from 68 species